rnacentral:rRNA from 1 species
UACGUAGGAUGCAAGCGUUGUCCGGAAUUAUUGGGCGUAAAGAGCGCGCAGGCGGUAUGACAAGUCAGAUGUGAAAGAGGCCGGCUUAACCGGCAAGGGUCAUUUGAAACUGUCAGACUAGAGUGCAGCAGAGGAUAGUGGAAUUCCCGGAGUAGCGGUGAAAUGCGCAGAUAUCGGGAAGAACACCCGUGGCGAAGGCGGCUCUCUGGGACGGUACUGACGCUGAGACGCGAAAGCGUGGGGAGCGAACAGG